rnacentral:snoRNA from 1 species
CAGACCAUUGAUGAUUAUGUGUCAUGAACUAAGGAUUAUGAUUAAUCCAAUUCUGUGUACUCAAGUUCAGAG